UACGGGGGGAGCAAGCGUUGUUCGGAUUUACUGGGCGUAAAGGGCGCGUAGGCGGUCAGCACAAGUCAGUUGUGAAAUCUCCGGGCUUAACUCGGAAAGGUCAACUGAUACUGUGCGACUAGAGUGCGGAAGGGGCAACUGGAAUUCUCGGUGUAGCGGUGAAAUGCGUAGAUAUCAGGAGGAAUACCGAUGGCGAAGGCAGGUCUCUGGGCUGACACUGACGCUCAUGCACGAAAGCGUGGGGAGCAAACAGG
rnacentral:rRNA from 1 species